CCCGUCACCAACCUUGCACAGACUCGGAAAACGGAGGUCACCUUCCUGCCCAAGACUGCCUCAGUCUCUAGCCUGCGGGAGCAGCCAUUCUGCACCAGGGAAACGCUCAGCAGUUUGGCAUCACACCUGGAAGAAUUUUUACAGAGAAAGCGCAAGCUCAUCCUCAGCCCUUUCUCCUUUCUGACGGCUGGAAACAGGGGACAUGAUGCCUGGAGCACAAGCAGUCACCUUGGACUAUGACGUAAGAGCUCUGUAUUGAAGAUGGAGAGGAAACAAAGGAGAAGGGACCUGGGCUCUGCUGAUUCUGGUUUUCCCCUGGUGUCUCUGUUCCAUGCACCACCCUGAAUCCUAACCAGUGGUCUAGGUUUUGGGGAGUGCCCAGGAUGGAAGAGGGGGCAGAUGUUCAUUCUGUCUAAGCUACUCCCAGACCAAUGGGUUUCAUGGGGUCCUUAUAUGACAUUGCUGUUUCUCUUUCACUCAAGUACCUCUAGUUGUUCAUUCCUUCAUUCAUUCAAUGAAUGCCACCCUAUGCUUGA